rnacentral:rRNA from 1 species
CCGGCCUGAGAGGGCGACCGGCCACACUGGGACUGAGACACGGCCCAGACUCCUACGGGAGGCAGCAGUGGGGAAUAUUGCACAAUGGGCGAAAGCCUGAUGCAGCGACGCCGCGUGAGGGAUGACGGCCUUCGGGUUGUAAACCUCUUUCAGCAGGGAAGAAGCGAAAGUGACGGUACCUGCAGAAGAAGCGCCGGCUAACUACGUGCCAGCAGCCGCGGUAAUACGUAGGGCGCAAGCGUUGUCCGGAAUUAUUGGGCGUAAAGAGCUCGUAGGCGGCUUGUCACGUCGGUUGUGAAAGCCCGGGGCUUAACCCCGGGUCUGCAGUCGAUACGGGCAGGCUAGAGUUCGGUAGGGGAGAUCGGAAUUCCUGGUGUAGCGGUGAAAUGCGCAGAUAUCAGGAGGAACACCGGUGGCGAAGGCGGAUCUCUGGGCCGAUACUGACGCUGAGGAGCGAAAGCGUGGGGAGCGAACAGGAUUAGAUACCCUGGUAGUCCACGCCGUAAACGGUGGGCACUAGGUGUGGGCAACAUUCCACGUUGUCCGUGCCGCAGCUAACGCAUUAAGUGC